rnacentral:rRNA from 1 species
GUGGGGAAUAUUGGACAAUGGGGGCAACCCUGAUCCAGCAAUGCCGCGUGAGUGAUGAAGGCCUUCGGGUUGUAAAGCUCUUUCAGUGGGGAAGAUAAUGACGGUACCCACAGAAGAAGCCCCGGCUAACUUCGUGCCAGCAGCCGCGGUAAUACGAAGGGGGCUAGCGUUGUUCGGAUUUACUGGGCGUAAAGCGCACGUAGGCGGAUUGGUCAGUUAGGGGUGAAAUCCCAGAGCUCAACUCUGGAACUGCCUUUAAUACUGCCAGUCUAGAGUCCGGAAGAGGUAAGUGGAACUCCUAGUGUAGAGGUGGAAUUCGUAGAUAUUAGGAAGAACACCAGUGGCGAAGGCGGCUUACUGGUCCGGUACUGACGCUGAGGUGCGAAAGCGUGGGGAGCAAACAGGAUUAGAUACCCCGGUAGUCC